rnacentral:rRNA from 1 species
CUGGCGGCGUGCUUAACACAUGCAAGUCGAACGCUGAAGCACCAGCUUGCUGGUGUGGAUGAGUGGCGAACGGGUGAGUAAUACGUGAGUAACCUGCCCUUGACUCUGGGAUAAGCCCGGGAAACUGGGUCUAAUACUGGAUGCUACAUGUCACCGCAUGGUGGUGUGUGGAAAGGGUUUACUGGUCUUGGAUGGGCUCACGGCCUAUCAGCUUGUUGGUGAGGUAAUGGCUCACCAAGGCGACGACGGGUAGCCGGCCUGAGAGGGUGACCGGCCACACUGGGACUGAGACACGGCCCAGACUCCUACGGGAGGCAGCAGUGGGGAAUAUUGCACAAUGGGCGAAAGCCUGAUGCAGCGACGCCGCGUGAGGGAUGACGGCCUUCGGGUUGUAAACCUCUUUCAGCAGGGAAGAAGCCACAAGUGACGGUACCUGCAGAAGAAGCGCCGGCUAACUACGUGCCAGCAGCCGCGGUAAUACGUAGGGCGCAAGCGUUGUCCGGAAUUAUUGGGCGUAAAGAGCUCGUAGGCGGUUUGUCGCGUCUGCUGUGAAAGCCCGGGGCUUAACCCCGGGUGUGCAGUGGGUACGGGCAGACUAGAGUGCAGUAGGGGAGACUGGAAUUCCUGGUGUAGCGGUGGAAUGCGCAGAUAUCAGGAGGAACACCGAUGGCGAAGGCAGGUCUCUGGGCUGUUACUGACGCUGAGGAGCGAAAGCAUGGGGAGCGAACAGGAUUAGAUACCCUGGUAGUCCAUGCCGUAAACGUUGGGCACUAGGUGUGGGGGACAUUCCACGUUUUCCGCGCCGUAGCUAACGCAUUAAGUG